rnacentral:rRNA from 1 species
UACGAAGGGUGCAAGCGUUACUCGGAAUUACUGGGCGUAAAGGGCGCGUAGGCGGCCAUGCGUGUCUUCCGUGAAAUCCCUCGGCUUAACUGAGGACGUGCGGAAGAAACUGCAAGGCUCGAGUCCGGGAGAGGGGGGUGGAAUUCCCAGUGUAGCGGUGAAAUGCGUAGAUAUUGGGAGGAACACCGGUGGCGAAGGCGGCCCCCUGGACCGGUACUGACGCUGAGGCGCGAAAGCUAGGGGAGCAAACGGG